rnacentral:rRNA from 1 species
CUUUACUAUAGCUUGGAAUUGUGUUCGGGCUUGCUGUGCGCAGUAUAGGUGGGAGGCGUUGAAGGUAUCCUUGUGGGGAUAUUAGAGCCAACAGUGAGAUACCACUCUCAGAAAGCUAGAAUUCUAACUCGAAAGAGGAAAGUUUCAGGUGGGUAGUUUGACUGGGGCGGUCGCCUCCAAAAAAGUAACGGAGGCGUACAAAGGUUACCUCAGACUGGUUGGAAAUCAGUCGAAGAGUGCAAAAGCAGAAGGUAGCUUGACUGCGAGACGGACAAGUCGAGCAGGGUGGAAACACGGUUUUAGUGAUCCGACGGUGCCGAGUGGAAGGGCCGUCGCUCAACGGAUAAAAGUUA